UGACUGCUCCUGAUGUUACGGCGGACGGGUGAGUACCGUGGGUACCUGCCUGUAGACUGGGAUACUCCGGGAAACCGGGGCUAAUACCGGAUGGUUGUCUGAACCGCAUGGUUCAGACAUAAAAGGUGGCUUCGGCUACCACUUACAGAUGGACCCGCGGCGCAUUAGCUAGUUGGUGAGGUAACGGCUCACCAAGGCGACGAUGCGUAGCCGACCUGAGAGGGUGAUCGGCCACACUGGGAACUGAAGACACGGCCCAGACUCCUACGGGAGGCAGCAGUAGGGAAUCUUCCGCAAUGGACGAAAGUCUGACGGAAGCAACGCCGCGUGAGUGAUGAGGGUUUUCGGAUCGUAAAGCUCUGUUGUUAGGGAAGAACAAGUGCCGUUCAAAUAGGGCGGCACCUUGACGGUACCUAACCAGAAAGCCACGGCUAACUACGUGCCAGCAGCCGCGGUAAUACGUAGGUGGCAAGCGUUGUCCGGAUUUUUUUGGGGCGUAAGG
rnacentral:rRNA from 1 species